rnacentral:lncRNA from 1 species
UUUGAGAACCAUUGUGUUAGAGGCAUAUCACAAGUUUUUUCUGGUGCUGAAGGACAAUUUUUGUGACAUAGUUGGGGCUAAUUCAUUAGGCCCUAAAGGCUUUUGAUGAGGAUUCUAUGAAAUAUUGUCUGUUGGCUGAAAAAAAAAAGAUGCUAUGGAAAAGUAGGGCCAUUUAAUUGAAGCAUUGCAGUCAACUGUAAGUGUGCUAUCAAGGCAACUUUGCAUUGGGUAAAAUAAUUUUUAAAUUUCCUUCAAAUUUUCUCACUUUGAACACAUCAUGACAUUUAUAGAUUUUAUUUUGACUAACCUGCUGUUUACAGGAAUUAUUGGGAUAAAUCGACAGUUGUGCCUUUCACUGAACUGUGACACUUCUACAGAUUUUGAAUUGGUCCAUCUGUUGGAAAAAAAUCCUCACGUGUGGAAGAUAAUAAGAAUGGUUUCCUCCUCUGGUGUGGCCAGUUUUUACUUGUAACCCUAUGCUGUGCUCCAGAGACAUGAAGCAAAUUCACAACCUUGAUCAUUUAUUUUAAAAUGUGCAGGAAAACUGUAGUAUACUUGAUGUGGGGUAUGUUUUAUAAAUGCAGAGGAGAAACUUU